rnacentral:rRNA from 1 species
CCUACGGGCGGCAGCAGUGAGGAAUAUUGGUCAAUGGACGCAAGUCUGAACCAGCCAUGCCGCGUGCAGGAAGACGGCUCUAUGAGUUGUAAACUGCUUUUGUACGAGGGUAAACGCAGAUACGCGUAUCUGUCUGAAAGUAUCGUACGAAUAAGGAUCGGCUAACUCCGUGCCAGCAGCCGCGGUAAUACGGAGGAUUCAAGCGUUAUCCGGAUUUAUUGGGUUUAAAGGGUGCGUAGGCGGUCGGAUAAGUUAGAGGUGAAAUCCCGAGGCUCAACUUCGGAAUUGCCUCUGAUACUGUUCGGCUAGAGAGUAGUUGCGGUAGGCGGAAUGUAUGGUGUAGCGGUGAAAUGCUUAGAGAUCAUACAGAACACCGAUUGCGAAGGCAGCUUACCAAGCUACUUCUGACGUUGAGGCACGAAAGCGUGGGUAGCAAACAGGAUUAGAUACCCGGGUAGUC